UUUCCUAAGGGUGGCACAGCCAUCAGCCUGCUGGAAGGCUUUCAGUCCCACCAUUGGGUGCUGUUCCUCAGCAGCUGGGAAGGAGGAAGAGUGGCCCUUCGUGCUCACUGUAACACCUGCUUCAACCACAACAUGCUGCAGCAGUUGAGGACAAGGUCUGAGGUUUUCCAAAGAUGUUUAAUGCUCCACACUGAGAACAGAUAGCCUACCCCUGAGGUAUCAGCACGAGGGAGAAUCACUUCUGUCCCUGCUGCGAGCAGCCGCUUUCUGUCAGCCUCAGUACUACAUCCUCAGCAUGACAUGAACAUGGAAAAAAUGCAGCCUUCAACGAAGUUAACCCUUUGUGUUUCUUGGGGCCUGCAGACCUCAAAGCAGUGUGCCAGUGGAAGUUGCCAGCAUGCUUCAUCCUCACUUAACAGUGGGAGGAAGCUGAUACAGCCCAUCUGUUUCACUUUGGAGGUACAAAGCUUAGGAAGAUGAGAUGCUGAUUUGUCACAUGUAAUUCAACCCUCUGAAUAACAAUGUCGUAAGAGUGUUCCGGUCUUCUUUGUGCAUUUCUCUGACCUCCUUGCCUUUGAUCAAACCAGCCCCUUUCCUUUGGUGCAUCUGUUGAAGACAACAGCUAAUGAGCAGCCUUACAGCAGUGCUUGUACUCUGACCAGCACAUAAUUUGAUUGCCCAAAAGAAAGUAAUGCAGAUUGUUGUUAAAUAUAAAUGUCCCAUAGGAUAAAUAAUCUCCAGUGCAACCAUUUUGCAGUAACAAACACUUUAGGCUUCAGUUUGUUCCUUUUGUCUAAUGCUACUCAGUUUUCUACAUGAAGUGCCUCUUGUGACAUCACUUCUCAGUCCUGUCAAUGGUUCUUGUGCCACUAAAACUACACAGAAUGUGCACAACAGCAACCAAAAAAUAAGCUGUAUUUUUUCCUUGAUCUUGUCUGAGUAGAUUUUGCUUUUUAUGCAAAUACUCUCAGCUGCGGCCAUAGCAUAGAAGCUGCAUUGUGCAAUUGCCACUGUUGAUGGCACAAUCAGUUUUGCUGAGACACUUUCUCUAUAAGUGUCCUGCUGUGAGCAUCUAAAGGAGAUCUUUGACUGUGGACUGCAAAGAUGGUAGAAGCAAAGGCUUGAAAAAACCACACAUAAUGCUGGUUUUGCAUUUUAAGGAAAAAUGGUAAUUCUCUUCCUCCACUGCACAAAGUAACUUUCCA
rnacentral:lncRNA from 1 species